rnacentral:tRNA from 1 species
GUCAUUUAGUAAAAUUAGGAAGACGGCGCGUCGGAAAUGGUCGGGAUAGCUCAGCAGG